rnacentral:rRNA from 1 species
GAUGAACGCUAGCGGCAGGCCUAACACAUGCAAGUCGAGGGAGAGGUUACCUUCGGGUAAUCAAAACCGGCGCACGGGUGCGUAACGCGUAUACAAUCUGCCUUUCACAUAGGGAUAGCCCGAAGAAAUUUGGAUUAAUACCUAAUGGUAUAUAAGAGCGGCAUCGUUUUUAUAUUAAAGCUACGGUGGUGAAAGAUGAGUAUGCGUUCUAUUAGCUAGUUGGAGAGGUAACGGCUCCCCAAGGCGACGAUAGAUAGGGGUUCUGAGAGGGAUGUCCCCCACACUGGUACUGAGAUACGGACCAGACUCCUACGGGAGGCAGCAGUGAGGAAUAUUGGACAAUGGUCGGAAGACUGAUCCAGCCAUGCCGCGUGCAGGAUGAAGGUCCUAUGGAUUGUAAACUGCUUUUGUAAGGGAAGAAUAAGGGGUACGUGUACUUUGAUGACGGUACCUUACGAAUAAGCAUCGGCUAACUCCGUGCCAGCAGCCGCGGUAAUACGGAGGAUGCGAGCGUUAUCCGGAAUCAUUGGGUUUAAAGGGUCCGUAGGCGGGCUGAUAAGUCAGAGGUGAAAGCGCUUAGCUCAACUAAGCAACUGCCUUUGAAACUGUCAGUCUUGAAUGAUUGUGAAGUAGUUGGAAUGUGUAGUGUAGCGGUGAAAUGCUUAGGUAUUACACAGAACACCGAUAGCGAAGGCAUAUUACUAACAAUUUAUUGACGCUGAUGGACGAAAGCGUGGGGAGCGAACAGG